rnacentral:snRNA from 1 species
AUACUUACCUGGCGUAGGGGUUACAGUGAUCGCGAAGGCGGUUCCCCCGGAAUGAGGCAUUGCAUGAGGCCAUUGCACUUUCGGUUGAGUUGACCUCCGCGAUUAUUCCUAAUGCGAAUAACUCGUGCGUGUAAUUUUUGAUAGUUCAUAGAUUCCAAAAGCAUGAU